rnacentral:rRNA from 1 species
GGGCGUAAGCGAGUGUAGGUGGCUCAUUAAGUCACAUGUGAAAUCCCCGGGCUUAACCUGGGAACUGCAUGUGAUACUGGUGGUGCUAGAAUAUGUGAGAGGGAAGUAGAAUUCCAGGUGUAGCGGUGAAAUGCGUAGAGAUCUGGAGGAAUACCGAUGGCGAAGGCAGCUUCCUGGCAUAAUAUUGACACUGAGAUUCGAAAGCGUGGGUAGCAAACAGGAUUAGAUACCCUGGUAGUCCACGCCGUAAACGAUGUCUACUAGCCGUUGGGGUCCUUGAGACUUUAGUGGCGCAGUUAACGCGAUAAGUAGACCGCCUGGGGAGUACGGCCGCAAGGUUAAAACUCAAAUGAAUUGACGGGGGCCCGCACAAGCGGUGGAGCAUGUGGUUUAAUUCGAUGCAACGCGAAGAACCUUACCUGGUCUUGACAUAGUGAGAAUCCUGCAGAGAUGCGGGAGUGCCUUCGGGAAUUCACAUACAGGUGCUGCAUGGCUGUCGUCAGCUCGUGUCGUGAGAUGUUGGGUUAAGUCCCGCAAC